UAAAAUCUGGGUACACAACACAGGAA
rnacentral:piRNA from 1 species